AGCGAACGUUUGCGGCGGGCUUAACACAUGCAAGUCGAACGGGCUGUUCCUUCGGGGGCAGUCAGUGGCGCACAGGUGCGUAACACGUAGGUAAUCAACCCUCUGGUUGGGGAUAACACUUCGAAAGGAGUGCUAAUACCCGGUAUGGCGCAGCGGUCUUCGGAUCGCGGCGAGAAAGACCCGCAAGGGUUGCCAGAGGACGAGCCUGCGGCCCAUCAGCUAGUUGGCGAGUAACGGCUCACCAAGGCGAAGACGGGUAGCUGGUCUGAGAGGAUGAUCAGCCACACUGGAACUGAGACACGGUCCAGACUCCUACGGAGGCAGCAGU
rnacentral:rRNA from 1 species